ACUCAUUCUGUAACAUUGCUGCGAUGAGACUUAAACAAACAAAGGUCAUGGUUAGUGUCACCACAGCCUGUAGAGAUGUGGGAACUAGGCCAAUGCAACUCUCGACACAGUCUGUGACCUGUUUGUGGCUUUUCUCAAGUAAUAUAGCAACAAGUAAGGUUUACUUUCCAAAUCGUUUUUUUUUUUGUUGCAAUGUCGAAGGAAGCACGCGAAAUCCUGGAGGCAUUUAUAAAGAGAGUUGCACUUAGUUGCUCAGAUAAGUUAAAAAGGAAAUAUUUGAGUCAAGAAUAGUUAAAUAGCUUAGUGAGAGAAGUUCAAACCUUGGUUCCCUUUUAACCAACACACAGUUAGGAAAUGAAAGUGUGGAAAUCAUACCACCCAGAAAUGGUUAAUGCUAACAGGAAAGGUGUUUGGGUUUUAAUGACUGUUUUCCAGACUGUAACACAAGUCAACAAAAAGGUAUAAGAAAAGUCAGAAAGAACUAGCAUUGGCUGCACAAAGACAAAGAGGUUGGGUAGUUUAAGCGUCUUCUCCUCAGGGACUGAUGCAUGAACAAGUGCCAACACACACGCGCGCACACACACACACACACACACACACACACACAAACAAACACAGUCACUGUUCAGUCAUUACACCGAGGCAGCCUUUGAAUUACCACAGUGCUGUCUCCUUUCUUUCACGAGUGUGAUUCUGUGAGUGAGGUAAUUGCUGCCUGCCUGUGCAACCAAAUGUUAGGACACACAUUCCUGCAAGAAUCUGUGUUUGUGUGUGUGAGGUGCAGUAAUUGUGUGUGUGUGUGUGUGUGUGUGUGUGUGUGUGUGUGUGUGUGUGUGUGUGUGUGUGUGUGUGUGGGAGUGAGCAUCCCCCUUGGUGUUUUUUUUUGUUCGCUGCACCCUGCUGUUUCUCAGGCCUCUGGGCACACGUCUAAUUCAACUGUUGCUUCUUAAAUCCAUACGCCUGUUAGCGCGCGGCGGUAGCAGCGCGAUGAAUAUUAAUACUGAAGACAAAGGCCAAACUCUCAGGGUAAAAGCAUGCAGGCUGUUUGCUUCAAAGAUCAAUUAUUAUUCAACUAUUCAUCAGCACAAUACAUGCUUUUGUAGCUUUGGGAGUUGUGUGCAUAUUCAGCUAUUCCCUCUUUCUCCAUGCAAUGAAUCACUUUGAUACUUUUGAACCGGUUUUCUCCUUCCCCUCUCUAACGAGCCUGUGUUGUUUUUGGUGAAUUUAUUGUCUCUCUCUUUAUACCUCUAUAUUUGAAACAAACACCCCUCCGUCUUUUAUUUCUUUACCCUGCUCCCUCUCUUUCAUUUCCUCAUCCAUCAGAUGAUUGGGGUAUUAUUAUCUUCUUCCCACUAAUCGCCUUACUUCUGCAUCUCUUUCUCCAUCUAAUGAUUGUUACUAUUUGAUCUAUCCCUGCUCUCUCUCUCUCUUUCACAUUAUUCCUCCCACUCCCUGCCCGCCUCCCAGUCUCCCUCUCUGCCACAGUUUUUUCAUCUGAUCCCAUUUCUUUUUCUCCUCUCUAUGUUCCUCCUUAUUGAUCCAACAAACGUAGGGUUGUGUUACCGUAUUUGGGUUCAUUUGAUCGUUUCAUUUACCUUAUAGAAAGAUCCUGUGAAAGGUUUUUCUUCUAUGUUGAGUGGCUACAAGAUAUCUGCCUCCUAAAGCUUGUUUCAUGAUAUUCUAGUCCAUUUCUGUAUGAUAAAACUUGAAAAUAUCAAACGAAGAAGCUCAUGGUUUUCUUCUCUAACUGAAUCUCUUGUCUCUUCUCUCCCCCCUCUGUUCUCCUUCUUCAUGAACCAAAGUUUCUGAUGGCUAUAGAGACCAGGGUUUUCCUCAGGAUGUUUGAGUCACUCACAUGUUUGCGGAUCAACUCAUUCUAACAGUUUAACCUUCCUGACGCCUGAUGGGGACAGAGAGAGGCAAAGACAUGAAAAUGAUUAACCACAUGGAGAAACGAGGAAGAAAAGAUCAGCUGACAGAGAAAUCCUCUGAUUGAAGAUGCUGGUUGGCGGAUACCUAGCCAAAUUAAGAUUUGAAGCCGAAGAAACAGUAGGAGGAAAGAGAGACUAAACCUGUACAGUUGACUAUAAUACAUGGAUAAAAUAACAAGUGUUUGGUAUUUUGUUGAGUAAAUUUACUUUUUUUUUCCAUUGGUCGUAUAAAAAGACUACAUGUUUUCUACAUGUCAGUAUAGAGCUGAAGAAGAAAGGACAAUAUCAUCUGAGACAAUGUGGAUAUUGCUUUAUAUUCGUCAUAUUGCUUUGUGGCUUUUGCAGCAAACCUUGUACAUACAGUAGAGGGCUGCACUGUAAAUCAGUGAUACGUUAUCAGGCUUACAACAGUUUUUACAGAACUGGUUUAACCAGAGUAUCCAUGGCCCUUGAAUUAGCUGCCUGGUGCAGCUGCAGCGUAUUUCAGUGUCAAAAUAUGUUCCGACCAGAAGUAAACAACUCUUUACGUUCUGGUACUCGGACAAGUUUCAACAGAUGAUCUUUAGUUGUGUUCAGGCUAUUGUCAGGGUGAAGGGUUGGUAAAACUUUGGAAUUCAGUUAUUAACAACCAAUGAAGUUUUAGUCAGUUGAUAUUUAUUUCAUAUUAAUCAGGACAAAUUGUUAAUAAAUAUUCAUAUACUAAGUAUUUAUAUGGACACAUUCCAUGUACUUUUGCAGAACCAAAAUAAAUGUUCACAAUUAUCUUAAAUAUCUAAUUUCAGUUUCCUAUAAGGGCAAAAUUCGAAUCUAUGGUUAUAUUACAUAUGUCAAAUAAUAAUAUUAACAUUUGAUAACCUUUAAUUAUUAACAAAUGUGUAUUUUAGACCUGCCCUGCACAUGGUCAUUUAUUAUUCUAUUAAUCUAUAUAAAGGAUUUUUCCAGUAAAACUUUGUUCUAGCAACCCAAUCCAUAUUAUACAUAGUAAGUUCCAUAUUUAACAAGACAUGGUCAUUUUCCAUUAAAUCACCAGCACAAAAUAUAGGAACCAACUUUGGACCAAUUAAAUCUGAAGCAUCUGUUCAAACCAUAAAUAGCUUGGGUGCCUAAUGUUCUGUAUUGUAAAUGAUUACAAAGUUAUCUGCAACUUAUUCAUCAGUUUAUGGAUAAAAGUGCUGCCUGUUUCUAUGACUUCAGUAUUUUAGCCGUUUCCGACAGUAUUAAAAUGACUCACGCCUCCUGAUGAGAAAUGGAUUUGAGGUUUCACACCUCUUAAAUGUGUAAAUCAGUGUCAAAGGGAUAUUACACAUUAUUAUCUAAUCAACAGUACCCACUCAGGGGGAAGCAUAGUUAGCACAGAGUCUGUCACAUCAUGACAGAGAUACAGUUACAGUAAAGUUGGUGACACUAUUUUUGUUGUUUGAGUAGAUUUUAAUAUUCAAAUAAGAACUUGUUAGGUUGUAGAGUUUACUUUUUUGUGUGUCCAUUAUUAAUGUGUGGGUGUUUUAAAUAGUGAUGGAUAUGGAUAUAUUGUAUUGUCGCAGUGUUACUAUGUAAGAGGGUUUGUUGGUACAACAGCAUUGGCACAGUUGAUCCAAACAAAGCCUUGACUUUCCUUUGAUACCACAGCAGAUAUCUAAUGAACAGUAACAUCGGAUUGGAGUAACAAAAGUCAAAGAGCCUUAAUCAAAAGGAAAUAAACCAGCUAGCCUUAGACACUACACAAAUGGGCAAUGAUGUAUUAAACAGACAUACCUGCAAGUUUGCUUGAAGUAAGUGCUCAGCUGAACAAACCGGCUGAGAGUACACCUCAAAUAGAAACACAGAUUUUUUUUCUCUCUUCUAAGAGAUACAUUUAUUAACAGUGAAUUCCUACUACUGGUUGUGCCUCUACAUAAAUCAAAGUGCAUAAUUCAAGAUGUGCUUUAACUGUCUUCUGCAUUUUCUUCGAGUUGUCUUCAUUAUCUUAGCCAAAUGCCUUUAAUAAGAGUGUUGCUGUAUUUUGGUGGAUGAUGUUUUCUACGUUUAGAUUGUGUUAGUGUUUUAGAGAAAGAUAGAUGACGAUGACAAUGAUGAUUUCCAUACAUGUGAUGAUGUUUUUGCCUUAAAAAUGACCACGGGUUUUUGUAGCAGUCGUACUGAAGUUUUUUUUUCUUUUUUUGUUUGUUUGUUUGGAUGUGAUGUAUAGGUCUUAAACAAUUGUUGUUUAUUGUAAUCAAACUUUCAGCCCUUAACACUGAUUCUGCUGUAAGUUUAAGGGGACAUAUACAAGUUGUUGUAUAUUUUUUUUUGUUUAUUGUGGUGGUGUAUUAUAUUUGUGAAUGUAGGAGGAGCAUACUGCAGUUGUAAUGUACUGUAAAUGUACAGUUUUCUGCAUGUAUAGCUCUGAUGUGAAUUCACUGUAUACACUCUCACACAAACUGAGAUUAUAGCAUAGUUCUGUGACUCUGCAAUAAUAGUUUUAUUUUAAGCCGUUUGAGAUCACUGAUGAAUUCUUGCAAUUAAAAAGAUUUGGUUCUAA